AGGUGUGAGCCACCGCGCCUGUCCAGGAAUCAGUUUUUUCCAACAAGUUUUUGGACUCCACUUUGAGAAAUCCUGACCUGCACUAUGCCUGAAACACUCCAAAGGGGGUGCUGAUCUGGAGACAGAUCUGUCCUGGGACCUGUUUCAGCCCUCUCAGCUCCUGGUGGCUGAGUUGAAGGGUGUGGCCCAGAAGGCAGGGCAGAGCUAGCUUCUGGGUUCCUUCAGCCCCUGCAGGUUUGGGACUCUGUCCACAGGUCCAGACCCAGUACUUAUUAUGAACUGUUGGGGGUGCAUCCUGGUGCCAGCACUGAGGAAGUUAAACGAGCUUUCUUCUCCAAGUCCAAAGAGGUACCAGUACCCCUGAGGUGGGGAGGGGGGGCAGGAACUCUGAGCCAGUGGGGGUGUGCUUCAAAUUCCCAGGAGUAGACCAGCAUCUCUGGCGGGUGCCACAUUUUUUCAGCCCUCAUAGGGAGUGGCAGGUGCUCAAUGGUAGGGGAAAGGCUGUGGGCAGGAGCCAGGGGUCCUGUCUGAUGGGCUGGGCUUGGUUUUCUUGACCUGCCUGCCUGCUCUUGAGAAACCUGGACCGGGGCAUAUGGUGAAUGCAGGGGGCUGGCAGGUGGGGAGGGCUUGAACACAGGAGGAAGCAGGAGUCCAUGCUCUCUGGCCUUCUGAGGAGUGGGCAGGCCUGAGUGAGGGUCACUGACCAGGCAGGGCCUCUGGGUAUGACUGGAGCCCUGGUGGGUGGAUGUCAUCAGCAUGGGUCCUGGGGAGGGACAGGCAAAGGGAGAUAAGGGGAGUCCUGCCCCACCCCAGCUGCACCCGGACCGGGACCCUGGGAACCCAAGCCUGCACAGCCGCUUUGUGGAGCUGAGCGAGGCAUACCGUGUGCUCAGCCGUGAGCAGAGCCGCCGCAGCUAUGAUGACCAGCUCCGCUCAGGUAGUCCCCCAAAGUCUCCACGAACCACAGCCCAUGACAAGUCUGCCCACCAAACACACAGCUCCUGGACACCCCCCAACGCACAGUACUGGUCCCAGUUUCACAGCGUGAGGCCACAGGGGCCCCAGUUGAGGCAGCAGCAACACAAACAAAACAAACAAGUGCUGGGGUACUGCCUCCUCCUCAUGCUGGCGGGCAUGGGCCUGCACUACAUUGCCUUCAGGUGAUGCCUGUUCUCCCCGGGGCGAUGGGCAGAGGGCAGGAGGAUGGGUGAAUUCCAGUGUGGUCAGCCAGUCCUCCACAGCACCUCGUGGCCCGUACUCUUGUGUCUCUCAAGCUAAGAGCUGCUUGAAAUUGGUCUCUGGAGCCUCUCCUUACUUAUUAAAGGCAGCGCUGCACCAA
rnacentral:sRNA from 1 species